rnacentral:rRNA from 1 species
UACGUAGGGGGGCAAGCGUUGUCCGGAUUUAUUGGGCGUAAAGAGCGUGUAGGCGGCCAGGUAGGUCUGCUGUGAAAACUCGAGGCUCAACCUCGAGACGUCGGCGGAAACCAUCUGGCUAGAGUCCGGAAGAGGAGAGUGGAAUUCCUGGUGUAGCGGUGAAAUGCGCAGAUAUCAGGAAGAACACCCGUGGCGAAGGCGGCUCUCUGGGACGGUACUGACGCUGAGACGCGAAAAGCGUGGGGGAGCGAACAGG